AAUAACAAUAAUAUCAUAAAAUAUAUAAUAAUAGUAGUGAUGUUUCUCUAAGUACGUACAUAUUAGUGUUGGACAACAAAAUUUUUGAGGCCGAAAAAUAAAUAAUUCGAGACAAGAAAAAUAUUGCAACAAUCGAUUUAUUGAUUUCAAUAUGAGAGUGUUACAAUAUCUAUGAUUCCUCUUAUUCGCCUUUUCAAUUAUAAAUUCAAGGACAUCGAGCUUGAUCUUGAACUUUAACUUGACCUUGACGGAUUUGAUCUUAACUUGUGCUUGAAUCCAAGGGCUUGGUAGAUUGUUCUUGAAUCUUGCGGUCUUGAUCUUGAACUUGAGCUUGAUUUGCGGGUUUGAUGAGCUGGAUCUUGACUUGUACUUGAAUUCAAGGGCCUUUGAGCUUGUUCUUGAAUCUUGAAGUUUUGAUCUUGAAGCUUGAAUCUUGAACUCUUAAUCUUGAAAUCUUAAGCUUGUUCUUGAACCUUGAACUCUUGAUCUUGAAAUCUUGAGCUUGUUCUUGAACCUUGAAUUCUUGAUCUUGAAACCUUGAGGUUGUUCUUGAACCUUCAACUCUUGAUCUUGAAAUCUUGAGCUUGUUUUUGAACCUUGAACUCUUGAUCUUGAAAUCUUUGGCUUGUUCUUGAACCUAAACUCUUGAUCUUGAAAUCUGAUGAACUGAUCUUGAAUUUUUGAAUUUGUAGAGAAAUCUGCUCUUGAAAUCUGAUGAAUUGAUCUUGAAUUUUUGAAUUUGUAGAGAAAUCUGCUGCUUUGAUCCACGAGCUCUCUCUUGCUUCUUG
rnacentral:lncRNA from 1 species